AGUGAACGCUGGCGGUAGGCCUAACACAUGCAAGUCGAACGGCAGCACAGUAAGAGCUUGCUCUUACGGGUGGCGAGUGGCGGACGGGUGAGGAAUACAUCGGAAUCUACUUUUUCGUGGGGGAUAACGUAGGGAAACUUACGCUAAUACCGCAUACGACCUACGGGUGAAAGCAGGGGAUCUUCGGACCUUGCGCGAUUGAAUGAGCCGAUGUCGGAUUAGCUAGUUGGCGGGGUAAAGGCCCACCAAGGCGACGAUCCGUAGCUGGUCUGAGAGGAUGAUCAGCCACACUGGAACUGAGACACGGUCCAGACUCAUACGGGAGGCAGCAGUGGGGAAUAUUGGACAAUGGGCGCAAGCCUAAUCCAGCCAUACCGCGUGGGUGAAGAAGGCCUUCGGGUUGUAAAGCCCUUUUGUUGGGAAAGAAAAGCAGCAGGUUAAUACCCCGCUGUUCUGACGGUACCCAAAGAAUAAGCACCGGCUAACUUCGU
rnacentral:rRNA from 1 species